UACGUAGGGGGCAAGCGUUGUCCGGAUUUACUGGGCGUAAAGCGCGUGUAGGCGGUCGCGAAAGUCCGGUGUGAAAGCCCCCCGCUCAACGGGGGAAGGUCGCUGGAAACUGCGCGUCUUGAGGGCGGCAGAGGGAAGUGGAAUUGCUGGUGUAGCGGUGAAAUGCGUAGAGAUCAGCAGGAACACCCGUGGCGAAGGCGGCUUCCUGGGCCGCGCCUGACGCUGAGACGCGAAAGCGUGGGGAGCGAACGGG
rnacentral:rRNA from 1 species